rnacentral:rRNA from 2 species
UUUGGCCUCGGAUCAGGCGGGGAUACCCGCUGAACUUAAGCAUAUCAAUAAGCGGAGGAAAAGAAACCAACAGGGAUUGCCUCAGUAACGGCGAGUGAAGCGGCAACAGCUCAAAUUUGAAAUCUGGCGUCUCGGGCGUCCGAGUUGUAAUUUGCAGAGGGAGUCUCGGGUGGAGCGCCGGUCCAAGUGCCUUGGAACAGGAUACCGCAGAGGGUGAGAGUCCCGUAUCCGGCCGGCCGCGUCCCCCGCUGUGAGACCCCUUCGACGAGUCGAGUUGUUUGGGAAUGCAGCUCUAAAUGGGUGGUAAAUUCCAUCUAAAGCUAAAUACCGGCCAGAGACCGAUAGCGCACAAGUAGAGUGAUCGAAAGAUGAAAAGCACUUUGAAAAGAGAGUGAAACAGUACGUGAAAUUGUUGAAAGGGAAGCGUAUGUGGGCAGACUUGGCCGCGGGUGUUCAGCCAGUCUUCUGACUGGUGCACUCGCCCGCGGACAGGCCAGCAUCGGUCCGGGCGGUCGGAGAAAGGCGUUGGGAACGUGGCUCCCCUCGGGGAGUGUUAUAGCCCGGCGCGCAAUGCGGCCAGCGCGGACCGAGGAACGCGAUUUAUCACGGAUGCUGGCGUAAUGGCCUCAUACGGCCCGUCUUGAAACACGGACCAAGGAGUCUAACAUCUAUGCGAGUGUUUGGGUGGCAAGCCCGGACGCGCAAUGAAAGUGAACGGAGGUGAGAGCCGGUCAGACGGCGCAUCAUCGACCGAUCCUGAAGUGUUCGGAAGGAUUUGAGUAAGAGCAUAGCUGUUGGGACCCGAAAGAUGGUGAACUAUGCGUGAAUAGGGUGAAGCCAGAGGAAACUCUGGUGGAGGCUCGCAGCGGUUCUGACGUGCAAAUCGAUCGUCAAAUUUGCGUAUAGGGGCGAAAGACUAAUCGAACCAUCUA